rnacentral:lncRNA from 1 species
GACACAGUUUUAUGUGACCUGAAGUGGCACUCGUGUUUAGUCUACUUAGACGAUGUAGUUGCUUUUUCCACCACGUUUGAGCAACACAUCGAGCGGCUUGAGGCGGUUCUUCAAGCCCGAAAAAUCCGCACCGCCGGCCUCUCCCUG